rnacentral:rRNA from 1 species
UCCGUAGGGGGCAAGCGUUGUCCGGAAUCAUUGGGCGUAAAGCGCGCGUAGGCGGCUUGGUAAGUCCGCUCUGAAAGCCCGGGGCUCAACCCCGGGAGGCGGGUGGAUACUGUCAAGCUCGAGUCCGGAAGAGGCGAGUGGAAUUCCCGGUGUAGUGGUGAAAUGCGUAGAUAUCGGGAGGAAUACCAGUGGCGAAGGCGGCUUCCUGGCCUGUUCUUGACGCUGAGGCGCGAAAGCUAGGGUAGCAAACGGG